rnacentral:rRNA from 1 species
GACGAACGCUGGCGGCGUGCCUAAUACAUGUAAGUCGAGCGAAUGAUGAGAAGCUUGCUUCUCUGAUUUAGCGGCGGACGGGUGAGUAACACGUGGGCAACCUGCCCUACAGAUCGGGAUAACUCAGGGAAACCUGGGCUAAUACCGGAUAAUCCUUCGAAUCACAUGUUUUGAAGUUGAAAGGCGCGUCGGCGUCACUGUAGGAUGGGCCCGCGGUGCAUUAGCUAGUUGGGGGGGUAACGGCCUACCAAGGCAACGAUGCAUAGCCGACCUGAGAGGGUGAUCGGCCACAUUGGGACUGAGACACGGCCCAAACUCCUACGGGAGGCAGCAGUAGGGAAUCUUCCACAAUGGACGAAAGUCUGAUGGAGCAACGCCGCGUGAGUGAUGAAGGUUUUCGGAUUGUAAAACUCUGUUGUAAGGGAAGAACAAGUACGUUAGGAAAUGAACGUACCUUGACGGUACCUUAUUAGAAAGCCACGGCUAACUACGUGCCAGCAGCCGCCGUAA